rnacentral:rRNA from 1 species
CAGCCGCCGCGGGAAUACGGAGGGGGCUAGCGUUGUUCGGAAUUACUGGGCGUAAAGCGCACGUAGGCGGCUUGGUAAGUUAGAGGUGAAAGCCUGGAGCUCAACUCCAGAAUUGCCUUUAAGACUGCCGAGCUAGCAGGUGAGAGAGGUAAGUGGAAUUCCGAGUGUAGAGGUGAAAUUCGUAGAUAUUCGGAAGAACACCAGCGGCGAAGGCGGCUCACUGGCUCAUACUGGACGCUGAGGUGCGAAAGCAUGGGGAGCAAACAGGAUUAGAGACCCGUGUAGUCCCUGUCUCUUAUAC